CAGCAGCCGCGGGAAUACAGAGGGUGCGAGCGUUAAUCGGAUUUACUGGGCGUAAAGCGUGCGUAGGCGGCUUUUUAAGUCGGAUGUGAAAUCCCUGAGCUUAACUUAGGAAUUGCAUUCGAUACUGGGAAGCUAGAGUAUGGGAGAGGAUGGUAGAAUUCCAGGUGUAGCGGUGAAAUGCGUAGAGAUCUGGAGGUAUACCGAUGGCGAAGGCAGCCAUCUGGCCUAAUACUGACGCUGAGGUACGAAAGCAUGGGGAGCAAACAGGAUUAGAUACCCCUGUAGUCCCUGUCUCUUAUAC
rnacentral:rRNA from 1 species